UUUUUUUUUUGUGGGUAAAUUAGCUUGAAAUUAAAAGAGGUUAACCGAAUGUGCAGCCUACAAGGAGCAUACCCCAGGAGGAAAAUAAAAGGAAAAAAGAAAAGUGAAAAAAGUGCGAUAAACCAUGCAUAACCCGCAUGGAGAGUAAGGUAAAUUAAAGUAAAUAACAAAUUAGAUUGUGAUUAAAGUAAAUGACAUGAAAGCUAACUACUGCCUGGCACAGCCCGCCAGGCUAGGCUAUAAGAUAAGGAAGUCAUGGUCAAAAAUGACCAUCUGAUGAACCAUCACAGAGGAAAUGCAGCAACAUAGCAACUUGGCUUUGAGGGAAGGCUGAACAGCUACUACAGAGAAACUAGGUACAGAUAAGAGGCUCGAUCCGGGGAUGACAGCAUCCGACAGGGGGCCCAACCCUGCACACCACGCCCAACCAACCAAUCUACUACUCCAUCGACCUAAUUUUCAAGGCUUGCCAGAAGACAACCCGCCCUCAGCCAAAUACCAAUCACUACAGCCGCUAGAGAAGGGAUAUGAAAACAAAGAUUCUAAUACUUCAAUCUAACCUAGUGAGUCGAACACAGUACCCACCUCUAAGAGAACGGCUACUACAAAGGAAUUAAGUACCAAGAAGAGGCUCGAACUGAAGAUGUCUGCAUCCGACAAGCUACCCCUUUAAGCACCCUGCACACCACGCCCAAUCCAGACUACUACUCCCUCAACCUAAUCCCCUAGGCUCGCUAUAAACUAAAAGUGAGACAGGACAAACCGCAAACCAAAGCUACCCUUUCAAUCAGAGCUCAGGCUAAUCUAAUCAAUGAUAGCCACAGAAGCUACCCCUUUCAACCGGCCCACACCACCAAUUAGACAAAGACAGCUCUGGAGGCUACCUCUUUCAACCAGAGCCCAAGCACCGACACGAAGGCUACCCCUUUCAACCAGUGCUAGCCCCCAAUCUAAUCAAAGAUAACCACGGUUACAUUCAUACUACGCUCAACCACCGGGCUAUUGAAGCAAAGAAACUAGAAAUUUAAAGAUGCUCAACAAAGAGCUAAAAUCCAAACGAUUAACCCGAUCUCAGUUCAACAGAUGACUGCCCAUCAAGGUUCUCAUCAAAAUCUAAAUGUCCACAAGUUUAUACCUGUCAAUAAGAACUAUACAUUCACCACUGCUCAAGCACAUCCAUCAUCACCGGCGAGGCCCGAUAGAGCAGAACUAGGCUCCACUCCAUUAGGCUCCGAACUUGGGAAUGAUGACUGCUCCGGACCGAAUCUGUAGAGUAAAUGGACCCACCACAAGUAGCAAUGGGUAAUUGAUUGCAGUUUGGUGAAGACAGCUGUGGACAAUCAGAUUAUGCCCUACCGCCAUGUCACCUAGAAUGGGGAGAUCUUGACGAGCUUUGGCCGUGACCCAUACUUCUCCCUUUUACAUGGGUUUUGAACAGUACCCAUUUUCGGCGAGUAAUUACCCUCCGAUGAUUUCUUUUCUUGUAAUAGGACCCACGAGCUAGGACUCGAGGUCAUCUCUCUUUCCUGUUGUGAUGUCGGUCCACGGGGUGGAUUGGAACAAUGGAAUUUAUUCUGAUUUACCAGAGCUGGGACUGAACCUAGCCAGAAACCCUUAAAGAUAGCUCCAAAUGGCUGCGAUUAGAGCAUGGAUAGGUGGGGGCAAGAAACCCCGAAACCCACAGCCCAUACCAGAACCCACAGCUCCGACGCCGUCCAUCUCUGUAUAGACUUAGGAGCUACCUGCAAUGGUCGGGUCCUGAUCUUGGAUGAACUGAGCCAGAGAAACGGGGCGUGGAUCGGAUCCUCAGAGAAUCGGAUCAAUGGAGGAAUAUAUGGAUUGAGCGGAGAUAACCCCUUUCUCUCUCUAGAAAUUAUAGAGAGGAAAUUCUUGGGAGAUAGUUCAUAAAAUUUGCACUAUGGUAAGAGCAAGGCUUUUAUCACAUUCUAAAUUGCCACAUUCACAAGCAUAUGGGAUUGUACAUGUGUGGAACACUGUUUAAACUUAUUUACUGUGAUGUUUUCUAUUUUUGUUGGAAUCUGGUUGUAAGUAUUUUCUAGUGGCUUUGUGAUUCAUUUGGGCAGGUCCAUAAUUGUUAUUACUUCUAUCUACAAGGUAACAUUAAUCUUUACUGGUUUCUGUUUGCGGUCAGUUUUGGAGGUCUUAGGUGGGCCUCCUUUUGCUCUCGGUUGGAUUUGAGUGUGCCAGCAUAUGAGGGUUCUGUGAGAUGUGUGCUUGAGCCCCAAUCUUCUUAUGAGCGGAGGUAAUAAUUAGUGGGAGGCAUUUUGUGAGGGAGAGGCGAGGGAGUUGAGACCUGCCCUAUUGCUUUUAGUUUGAUCGGUGUGUUAGGUUUCGAGGGAGGAGUAGAGCGAGCAGAUAAUAGCAAUGGGCUCUCUAGUUCCUUGACUUAAUUGAUUUGGACUGUGAUGAUCCUCUGGAUUUUGUUAUUUUGCUCUUGUUUCUAGUCCUCUUGUGACUUUUGCUGCUGCUUUCUACUCAUUUUGGGUUGUUGUUUUCUGCUGCUACUUUGGUUGCUUUUGUUUAUUGCUGCUACGGCAGCUGCACUUUGUUUGGACUGCACUAAGGGCCUUUUGCUUGCUGCUGCUACUGCUGCUAUUUGCUACUAUUGUUUGCUAUUUCAUGCCUCUGCUGUUGUAAUGGUGGCAGUUAGCUACUAUUGAAGUGGUUUCUAAUGUUGUGCCACAGAUUCUUGUUAAUGUUGGUUCCUGCGGCAGCUGCUAUUUGUUACAUUCUAAUGCAGUUGUUGCUGCUUGUUUUGAAUCUGCUCAGGUCCAGCUCCUAUUGGUUUCCGUGGGAAGUUGUCCCUGGAUCUAUGUGGUGUGGCAAUGGGUGCCUUAGAUAAUGUAUAGGUUAUGUCCAGGUUUUGGCUACGUUGUAUUAGUCCAGUUUGGGAUGACUGCCUUUAAAUAUAUUGGAACUUUUGUACCUACCCUAGGGGGGUUGUCCCUAGGGAUGUUUAAGCCUUUCUAGGGGGCUUGUCCCUAGUUCUUUUCUUUCUCCUUUUUGGUCUGUUUUAGGCCUGUUUUGUAGCUGUCUGUAUAUCUCAUGCGGCUGCUGUGUAGGAGGCCUAUUGUAAUAUGCUUCUAUGCCUUGCUGUGUUCCCGAAUAGUUGCUGCUAUGUUGUUGCUCAAUCUAAAGGACUCAAGCUCAGCUCUUCCUACUGCAUAGUGUGUCUUUGUUUGGUUUCGUUCCCUCUUUUAGAUGAAAUGGAAACAAUUGGUAUCUUU